rnacentral:ncRNA from 1 species
AGCUUCAUGAAGUUUGAUUGCGCAUCGCGCCAGACUUCAUACCUCCCUGUUGGACUUCGGCCGAGCUUAGUGCUCGGCCUUUUUU